rnacentral:rRNA from 1 species
GACGAACGCUGGCGGCGUGCUUAACACAUGCAAGUCGAACGGAAAGGCCCUGCUUUUGUGGGGUGCUCGAGUGGCGAACGGGGGAGUAACACGUGAGUAACCUGCCCUUGACUUUGGGAUAACUUCAGGAAACUGGGGCUAAUACCGGAUAGGAGCUCCUGCUGCAUGGUGGGGGUUGGAAAGUUUCGGCGGUUGGGGAUGGACUCGCGGCUUAUCAGCUUGUUGGUGGGGUAGUUGCUUACCAAGGCUUUGACGGGUAGCCGGCCUGAGAGGGUGGCCGGCCACAUGGGGCCUGCGAGACGGACCAGACUCCUACGGGAGGCAGCAGGGGGGAAUCUUGCACAAUGGGCGGAAGCCUGAUGCAGCAACGCCGCGUGCGUGAUGCCGUCCUUCGGGUUGUAAACCGCUUUCGCCUGUGACGAAGCGUGAGUGACGGUACUGAGUAAAGAAGCCCCGGCUAACUACGUG